CCUACGGGUGGCAGCAGUGGGGAAUAUUGGACAAUGGGCGAAAGCCUGAUCCAGCCAUGCCGCGUGUGUGAAGAAGGCCUUCGGGUUGUAAAGCACUUUCAGUGGGGAAGAAAGCCUUGGGGCUAAUACCCUCGAGGAAGGACAUCACCCACAGAAGAAGCACCGGCUAACUCCGUGCCAGCAGCCGCGGUAAUACGGAGGGUGCGAGCGUUAAGCGGAAUUACUGGGCGUAAAGCGCGCGUAGGCGGUCUGAUAAGCCGGUUGUGAAAGCCCCGGGCUCAACCUGGGAACGGCAUCCGGAACUGUCAGGCUAGAGUGCAGGAGAGGAAGGUAGAAUUCCCGGUGUAGCGGUGAAAUGCGUAGAGAUCGGGAGGAAUACCAGUGGCGAAGGCGGCCUUCUGGACUGACACUGACGCUGAGGUGCGAAAGCGUGGGUAGCAAACAGGAUUAGAUACCCGGGUAGUC
rnacentral:rRNA from 1 species